rnacentral:rRNA from 1 species
GACGAACGCUGGCGGCGUGCUUAACACAUGCAAGUCGAACGGAAAGGCCCUGCUAUUGUGGGGUGCUCGAGUGGCGAACGGGUGAGUAACACGUGAGUAACCUGCUCUUCACUUUGGGAUAGCUUCAGGAAACUGGAGCUAAUAUCGGAUAGGAUCUCCUGCUGCAUGGUGGGGGUUGGAAAUUCUCGGCGGUUGGGGAUGGACUCGCGGCUUACCAGCUUGUUGGUGGGGUAGUGGCUUACCCAGGCUUUGGCGGGUAGCCGGCUUGGGAGGGUGACCGGCCACAUUGGGACUGAGAUAGGGCGCAGACUCCUACGGGAGGCAGCGGUGGCGAGUAUUGCACAGUGGGCCGAAGCCUGAUGCAGAGGCGCCGCGUGCGGGAUGACGGUCUUCGGGUUAUAAACCGCUUUCGCCUGUGACGAAGCGUGAGUGACGGUAAUGAGUAAAGAAGCACCGGCUAACUACGUG